UCUACGGAAAACCCUUUGGACGACCUCACUGGACGACCUCACUCAGAUCCCUGACACCCUCUUGUUUUCAGCGUUUCCGUAGAUGCCUGCUUCUGUGUCGGUUAUUUUUAGUUGAUAAAAUAGACUCUCUGCAAUGUUCAUCAUGUGAGAGGACCAUCCUCAGGGCUUUGUAGAUAUUUGCUUAUUUUCUGCUCUUUCGAUAAAGGCGGGUGCCAUUACCAACCCUACUUUGCAGAUGAACAAACGGGGUUCAGCCUGGAAAAGUGGCUCACCCGGACUGCACAGCUGAGAGGCAGGAAAGAUGGAUGGCCAACCGACCCGCUCUGCUGCUGUUGUAUAAAGUGUCAUUAGAUCUGUCUGCAUAAAUGUAAGAAAACGAACCCCCUGCCUGGGUGUGAGUGGUCUUGUACAUCUGUGCAGUAAACAAGGACGUGCUGUGAAUUCUUCCCAACUGAGCCUAAAUCAAACCCCAGCAUUGCUUGUGGUGCGUGCAUGCAUGCUAAGUUGCUUCAGUCGUGUCUGACUCUUUGCGACCCCAUGGACUACAGCCCACCAGGCUCCUCUGUCCCUGGGAUUCUCCAGGCAAGAAUACUGGAGUGGGUUGCCAUGCCCUCCUCCAGGGGAUCUUCUCGACCCAGGGAUUGAACCUGCAUCUCUUUCAUCUACCUGCACUGGCAGGCAGGUUCUGGUUCAGUACUACGCGCCACCUGGGAAGCCCCAAUGCUUGUGGGGAUGCUGUAUUAUCUACCUUGAUGAGUUCACAUUUCUCUGAACUGAACCAACUUUGAUGUCUUCAGACAGAGCUGGUCCCGUCAGAGGCCCCAGUUCCUCACUUGCUCUUUCCCAGUCUUGCAAUGUGGGCAGGGCCGGGUCACAGUACCCUGUUCUCAGAGGUUAGCAAAUUCUGUUUGAGACCUUCUACAGCAGAGUGGACCAGAAGACACGUGCUUUUUGGAGUCAGAUUCACGUUCCACCCCAGCCCUGUGACUUGGGAGAUCCUGGUAAACCGCCGGCCUUCUGCUGCCCUGC
rnacentral:lncRNA from 1 species